rnacentral:tRNA from 1 species
GCCGCGGUCGCCUAAUCAGGUAUGGCGGUCGGUUGAAACCCGACGUCCUUCGGGACUUCUGGGCUCAAAUCCCAGCCGCAGCG